GCCGCAGUGAGCUCCACGACCGGUGGACGUACUAAAUUAUUCCACCUACCCACUGAUCCACCUAAUAUUAUCUCGAACCACCAGGCCGCACCCACCCAACACUCCUCAUAGCAACCCUAUGGUCUUGCCUGCACCGGAUUCCGCUCAUCUCCGACCAGAAGUCGCCGGCGUUUUGGCCGCCGGCGAACCCAUUGCGGCUCGGGAGACGCAUGCACCCUCCCCUCCUCCACCGCGCCCUCCUCUUGGGAGACACACCGGCACCAUGUCAGAUGCUGGUAGUUGUGAUGGUGCCGCAACAUCUGGGGAUGCAGCCUGUGACAACAACCAUCAGCAGCCACUCCAAGGGAGCGAAGAACAGGCACCUCCUGCUCCGACCUCUCGAAUUUCAGUCAGAAAAGCAGUAGAAGUAAUCCAGUCGUUUGAUGAUUACAACAGGUGGCUCAUUACUGAAAUUGGGUUUGGUGGAAUGCUAAAGCUACCCUUGCUCCAUAAGCUUAACCUUAAGUUUAGUGCUUGGACUAUGAGCAAGGUCUGUGUUGCGCGUCGAGCAAUCGUUCUGUCAGAAACCAAGACCCUGAAGUUUUUUGUGGAAGACAUCCACAAGGUUUUUGGCAUCCCGUGUGGACAUCUGAGCAUUAAAGGGCGCGAUGGGUUCAUCAAGCCAGAAGCUGUAACAUUCAUAAAGAGGACGCUAGGGAUGGACAGGACGGGAGUGCAUAGCCUGCGUGCGGCUGAGGAAUUCCUGCUCCGUGACAUUUCUAAGGCUUCCAGCAAGUUGGAGAAGAAUUGCUUCCAAAUUUCAUUCAUCAUUUUUGUUAUGGGACAUGUUCUUGCACCAAGAACAAAACAUGAUUACGACACCAUAGACUAUUGGGGUGCGCUGGCAAACACGGAGAACAUCUCCCAAUUCAAUUGGUGUCUGUGUUCCUUCUGUGCAAAGGCUACAACACUCGGCUUAUCGACAUGAUAAUCUUCCUUGACAACGUCGACCUUGGAAUUUUCAACAAGAACCAUAAUUUGCUGCCUCGGAUUAGUGACUUCGACCAGACCAGCAUCAAGAACAUGAUAACAAUGGCGACUGACAUUGGGAAGUGACCUACAUCCUACUCGAAAUGCAUGAUUCGUCAUGGUACUGAUUUAUGCUAUGCUCGUUGCAACACCGCUGAAUGCACAGAGAGAACUCGUAACCAGCCAGUUCAAGGCGGCAAUAUCGAUCAAGAUGUUGCCAAUUUCACCAAUGACAGGAAUGAUCCGGCUCAUGUAUCAUAUUCAGUCCCUGCAAACCUAAUUGAUGUACAUACGCCACUGUGUAUGCUUGGACCACUCGAUUUUGUAGAGCACAUGCGUAGCCGAUACCCCAGUCUGACUAGGGAUGAGCUGAGUUUUAUACUGAAGGAGCAGAAUGCCAAAUGCCAGCGUGAAAUCAUUACCGCCCAGGCAAACCUGCAGGCUGACAUGAUUAAAUUCGUGGACAAACUAAUGGCAUCAAUCAGCAAGAGGUGCAUCUGUUGUACUGCUCGAGGUUUUACUGACUCCCCAGCAAGAGAAGUGGAUACAUGUCUAGUUGAUACACUUAGGACUCCGAUUGGCCAGAAAAUACCAGGUGUCCGGCUCGAUAUGUCUGCAUGCAAAGAUGGCAACUGUAGACCGAGGUCCCAUUGUGAUGACGAGUCAGACCGCCACCAUAACAAGAGGUCGAGAGGUGAUGACCGAGCAGUUGCACAAUUGACAACUCAGAUAUUUUAGUUUGCAAGGCAGAUAGUGUAGGCUAUUAGCGAAAUGUUUAUCGACCUUCCAAAUGAUGGCAAUACCACGGUGUUUGGACAGUAGGCUGACGGUCUUCCUGGAAGAAAAUAUGUCUUUAGAUCUGGAUUCUAGACAGACCCAUAGGGGUGCUGUGCCCCUCCCACCGCAGCCAUAUGUGUCCCAAUAGUUGGAAGGGUUCUUUGCUACGGCACCGCCAGAAGAGUUAUCCAGGAAUUUUCUUGUCCACGAGAACCCGAGGUUCUUACGAAUAAAUGGAUUAGCGUUGAAAUCUCGGCUAGUUGAAGAUGAGCUUAUUGACCAUGAGUUCAUGUCUGUCAUUAUCAGAAGGUAUUGUCGGUCUGAUUAGGAGGCAGACAAACACUCGCCGUACUUAACAUGGAGGCACCCAAUUGAACCAGAAUUCUCAAUAAGUCCAACGAAUCCAUCUAACCUUUCUUCAGAUUAUUUUCGAUAUACAUGUUUGGUACACAGUCACCUACAAUGGCAUUUUGCAUGAAUGCAGACGCUGGUAUUAUCUGAUCAUGAUUACCUCCAUACGGUGUCAAUCCAUAAAGCAUUGUGUGCCGAGUCACUCAAAUAUGACAUCACAUCUGCUCAGGUGUUUUUCACGCCCGUUCCAUGGCUCGAAGGAUGGAUUAUAAUUUUCUGGGACAUGGUAACCCGUAUCAUGUUUGUCAUUGAUCCAAUGUACAAUAAGAAGAGUCAACCGUUGAACACUCAGCAUAGAGACGAGAUUAUAGCCUGGAAGCUACACG